rnacentral:rRNA from 1 species
GAUGAACGCUGGCGGCGUGCCUAAUACAUGCAAGUCGAGCGAACAGACGAGGAGCUUGCUCCUCUGACGUUAGCGGCGGACGGGUGAGUAACACGUGGAUAACCUACCUAUAAGACUGGGAUAACUUCGGGAAACCGGAGCUAAUACCGGAUAAUAUAUUGAACCGCAUGGUUCAAUAGUGAAAGACGGUUUUGCUGUCACUUAUAGCUGGAUCCGCGCCGCAUUAGCUAGUUGGUAAGGUAACGGCUUACCAAGGCAACGAUGCGUAGCCGACCUGAGAGGGUGAUCGGCCACACUGGAACUGAGACACGGUCCAGGCUCCUACGGGAGGCAGCAGUAGGGAAUCUGCCGCAAUGGGCGAAAGCCUGACGGAGCAACGCCGCGUGAGUGAUGAAGGUCUUCGGAGCGUAAAACUCUGUUAUUAGGGAAGAACAAAUGUGUAAGUAACUAUGCACGUCUUGACGGUACCUAAUCAGAAAGCCACGGCUAACUACGUG